UACAGAGGGUGCGAGCGUUAAUCGGAAUUACUGGGCGUAAAGCGUGCGUAGACGGUAGCGUAAGUCAGAUGUGAAAGCCCCGGGCUCAACCUGGGAAUGGCAUUUGAGACUGCUCUGCUCGGGUGCGGAAGAGGGAAGCGGAAUUUCCGGUGUAGCGGUGAAAUGCGUAGAUAUCAGAAGGAACACCAGUGGCGAAAGCGGCUUCCUGGUCCGACACCGACGUUCAGGCACGAAAGCGUGGGGAGCAAACAGG
rnacentral:rRNA from 1 species